UUCAGCGGGAAUAAGAGUAUAUGGCGGAUGCCUUGGCUUGAAGUGGCGAUGAAGGACGUGGCGUGUCUGCGAUAAGCUUCGGGGAGGUGACUAGCAACCUUUGAUCCGGAGAUGUCCGAAUGGGGAAACCCCUCCGUGUAAACCACGGAGACCGUGCUUUGCACGGAAAUCCUAAAUUACAAAAUCCAAAUUCCAAACAAAUUCUAAAUUUCAAAUUCCAAAUCCGUUUUGGUCAUUUGAAUUUUUGCAUUGUUUGGGGGUUGGUGCUUGGAAAUUUGGGUUUCCGUGCAGAGCGCGGAGCGCACCUAGGGAAGUGAAACAUCUCAGUACCUAGAGGAAAAGAAAACAAUGCUGCUUCUCACUUUGUUCGGCGCGGAAUUUCCAAUUUUUAAUUUCUAAUUUUUCCGCCUUAGGCGAGACCUCGCCCUUUGGGCGGGCAAUCAAUUUUUAAUGUUUCAAUUUUCAAAAACCCUUGUUUUGGAUUUUGGUCAUUGGGAUUUGUUUUGAAAUUGGUGCUUGAAAAUUGGGAAUUCCACUCGAGCGAAGCGAGAUGUGGUCCAUUCCCUUAGUAGCGGCGAGCGAAACGGGAAGAGCCCAAACCCUUCGAUUCGAUUCUGCGAAUCUCACUCAGGGCAAGCCCAAUCUUCGUUUUUUAAAAGAUGGGUUUACCCCGAGCGAGGUGCGUAGCAUCGAGUCGAGGGGGGUUGAAAGAUACAUUCAUUGAGAGUUUACUCUCAGGAGAGAUUUACAAGAAGAGAUUUGGUUAGUAGAACUCGUCUGGAAAGGCGGGCCAAAGAGGGUAAUAGCCCCGUACACGAAAAUCAUCUCUGUCUCUCGGAAUGUACUCUUGAGUACCUCGAGGAACGAAUGCCUCGGGGGAAGCCGGGAGCACUAGCUCCCAAGGCUAAAUACGCUUCAAGACCGAUAGUGAACUAGUACCGUGAGGGAAAGGUGAAAAGCAGCCCGAUGAGGGCGAUGAAAUAGUACCUGAAACCAUAUACUUACAAGGACUGGGAGCUUGUGCCUCACUUUUGUUCAGCACAAAAUUUUUAAUUUUCAAUUCUCAAUUUUUAUUCAAUGUUUAAUGUUCCAAUUUUCAAAUGUUUAAAAAUUAGAAAUUAAAAAUUGAAAAUUACGAAGUGCCGAGCGAGAGCGAGGUACGAGUGACCGGGUGCCUAUUGAAGAAUGAGCCAACGAGUUUUUGCAUGCUGCUCGUCUAACCCCGCUCUUUUGGCGUUAUUAUUUUGUUGGUAUAAUUAUUGAUUAUGUAUUAUGUUUAUUUUCUUAAAAGUAAAAAUAAAAAUUUUUUCUAUGUGGGGAGUACGAAUGAUCUUCGGAGAAGAUUGAAAGAACACAAUCAAGGAGAAAAUAGAUCAACAAAACAUUACGCUCCAUUCAAACUUAUUUAUUACGAAUCGUAUCUUAGUAAAAAAGAUGCAUUGCUUCGUGAAGAAAAACUAAAACAUCACGGAGCGGUAAUCGGGCAUCUUAAGAAGCGUAUUCAAAAUAGUUUACUGGAAUAGUGCCAAAAGAGCGGGGGGAGGCAAAGGGAAACCGAGUGUUAACAGCGCGCAUCAUUCUUUCCAAUUCACUCGUUUUAACGCGAGUGAAUUGGCGAAGAAUAAAGGCAACAUGCAAAAGACCCGAAGCCACGUGAGCUACCCAUGGCCAGGAUGAAUUUCGCCGAAAGGCGGAAGGAGGUCCGAACCGGUUGAUCGUACAACGUCAUCGGAUGAGCUGUGGGUCGGAGUGAAAAGCUAAUCGAACGUGGGAAUAGCUGGUUUUCUCCGAAAUAACUUUUGGGUUAGCGUCUUUAUUAUCGUUCGGGGGUAGAGCUACUGGAUGGGAUGCAUAGGGCGAAAGCUCGGCUUUCCAACCAAACUCCGAAUACCGAACGUAUUGUAAGGGCAGUUAGACUAUGGGGGCGAAGCUCCAUCGGUCAAAAGGGAAACAGCCCUGAUCUCAAUCUAAGGUCCCUAAAUCUCUGCUAAGUGUUUUCAAGGUGGUGAAAUUUCUCAGACAGCGAGGAGGUUGGCUUAGAAGCAGCCAUCCUUUAAAGAGUGCGUAACAGCUCACUCGUCAAGAGAUAUUGCGCCGAAAAUAAUCGGGACUCAAGCAGAGUACCGAAGGUGAGGGUGUUAUGCUUUUGCAUAACGCGGUAGGAGAACAUUCCUAAUGCAGUGAAGCUGCUUCGUGAGAAGUGGUGGAGCGUUGGGAAGCGAGAAUGUUGGCACAAGUAACCGCAAUGCAGGUGAGAGCCCUGCACGCCGAAAGCUCAAGGUUUCCUUGGCAAUGGUGAUCAGCCAAGGGUGAGUCGGUCCUAAGGCGAUGCCGAAAGGCGCAGUUGAUGGACACACGGUUAAUAUUCCGUGACUUCCGUAUAUUUCCAAUGGAGGGACGGAGGACAUAAAAAAGAGCGCGUUAUUGGAUUCGCGUUUGUGUUGUACAGAGAUGCUUUCCCGGCAAAUCCGGAAAGCGGCCGCAAGGCAAAUCUCGCGCAAUGCAGAAAUUCUUUCGUUUCGGAAGAAAAUUCUUUUGAAGAGCCUUCCAAGAAAAACUUCUAGGGUUAAGUAUAUGGAAACCGUACCGCAAACCGACACAGGUGAGCAGGUCGAGAAGACUAAGGCGAACGGGUGAGUGCUCCCCAAGGAACUCGGCAAAAAAGCACUCGUAAGUUAGCAAUAAGAGUUUCCCGUUAACCAUACGGUUUUUAUCGUGUGGAAAGCGGGACGCAGCGAAAGUACCCCUGGCGACUGUUUAACAAAAACACAGCUCUCUGCGAACUCGUAAGAGGAUGUAUAGAGGGUGACGCCUGACCAAUGCGAGAAGGUUAACGUUGGUGGUGUCCCGCUUUUAGCGGGAUGCUGACCGACCGAAGCCCUCGUCAAUGUCGGCCGUAACUAUAACGGUCCUAAGGUAGCGUAUUUCCUUGUCGGGUAAGUUCCGACGUGCACGAAAGGCGUAACGACUGGGGGACUGUCUCGGGGAGUAGCCCGGUGAAAAUACAAUACCGGUGAAGAUGCCGGUUACCUGCAGUUAGACGAAAAGACCCCGGAAGCUUUACUGCAACUUGAUAUUGGCUCUAAGAAUGUAAUGCGUAGCAUAGUGGGGAGGCUUUGAAGUGUUGCUCUUGGGCGGCAUGGAGCCAACAGUGAAAUACCCAUCUUUUCAUUUUUAGACUCUAACCUUUGCGGCAAAAACGCACGGGAACAGUAUCUGGUGGGCAGUUUAAGUGGGGCGCUUACCUCCUAAAAAGUAACGGAGGUGUUUAUCAAGGUCAGCUAGGUGCGGAUGGAAAUCGCGCCGAUAGCGCAAUGGCAUAAGCUGGCUUAACUGUAAGACGGACAUGUCAAACUUCCGAAUAUUUCGGAACUUUUUAUGCUUUCAUGUAUAAAAAGAGAUGCGAAAGCAGAACAUAGUGAACCGACCGUGGGCACUAGACGCCGCGGAAGAUUAACGGAUAAAAGCUACUCCGGGGAUAACAGGCUGGUCGCUUCCAAGAGUCCAUAUCGACGAAGCGGUUCGGCACCUCGAUGUCGGCUCGUCACAUCCUGGGGCUGGAGAAGGUCCCAAGGGUUGGGCUGUUCGCCCAUUAAAGUGGCACGCGAGCUGGGUUCAGACCGUUGAUGCGCUAAUCGCGCAUUACGAUCUUGAACUACUGAUUGGCUCAUCGACUGUUUGAAUCCAACGACAUAUUUUUCGUCUAUGAAAUAAAGAUAGGAAACAACCUCAAUCACGGCGGCCUCAAAGAGUAAUUUUUGAGCGAGAAGCUAACUUAUAUCGGUAAAAUCCUUUCAUAAGGACAAUACCGAGGGAAGUCUAAGAAAAAUUCAUUUAUAUUUUCUUAUGACCCUGUAGAGACUACAUGUUAGCCUCCCAGCACAAGUGGGAUGAAGAUAUAGUCCAAUGCCGCUAGUAAUAGCGGGAAUGUUUCGUGUCUGCGUGAUUCUGCGUAUAUUCUGCGCAGGCCAGCGGGUUUACGAAGCAAAACAUGCGUGAGACAGGUUGGUCUCCUAUCUACUGCAGGCGUUGAUUCUUGAGAGGAGUUUCUUCUAGUAAGCCCUUUUGGGGCCUUGCUACUUCACGCAGAAAUGUGUGAUGAAAAAGUGGCUAAUAACGGUGGAAUCUUCAUUCAUGUUUCUCGGUUCGAUGAAAAGUAAUAUCAUACGGUCUUUGAUAUUACUAUUCGCUUGAGGACCAGAAAUAGAGUAAGAUAAUAUCGUGGGAAGUCGAUCUAAAAUUAAGUUCGCGUAUAUUGCUGGUUUUCUUGAUGGAGAUGGGAGUCUUAUGCUUCAGCUCAAAAAGCGAAGCGAUAGCAAACGAGGGAUUCGUUUUAUGACUACAAUUUGUUUUUAUCAAGAUGCUAGGCAUAAAAAGACUUUAUAUUGGAUAAAAGAAGUCUUGGGUAUCGGUUAUAUUUCUGACAGAAAUGAUGGAAUGACUGAGCUGCGAAUAAAUGGUUAUAAACAGAUAAGAAAUAUUCUUAAAAGUUUGUUGCCGUAUAUUCGUUUUAAAAAACCUCAAACACGCGCGCUCUUACAAGCGUGUGAAGUGUUAUCCAACACAAAGUUCCAAAAGCUAACGAAAAGGCAAUUGACAAAACUUGUUGAUCUGAUUUUGGUUAUUCAAAGUCAAAAUUACGUUACCAAAAAGAAAAAAACAAGAAGCGAAUUGCAUAAAAUUUUAGGUCUGACCCCGUAACGACUUGUCUCUGACUUUAUGUCGGAGCGGACUUUCAUAAUGCCGGAAAGUUUCUUUCAAAAGAAACAGGCUUAUGUUUGUAAUACGCCAACACCUUAACUUUUUAUUAAAGAAAGGUGAAGAUAUAGUCUGCACUCCUAGAAAUAGGGGAGAAUGUGACGAGAGGACCGAAGAGAACUGACCUCUGGUGUACCAGCUGUUCUGCCAAGAGCAUCGCUGGGUAGCUAUGUCGGGACGGGAUAACCGCUGAAAGCAUCUAAGCGGGAAGCCCACCUCAAGAUUAGGAAUCAUUAAGACCCCUCGGAGAUGACGAGGUUGAUAGGCAGCAGGUGUACGCUCUGUGAGGAGUUAAGCCGAGCUGUACUAAGUGGUCAAUCCCGCUGAAAU
rnacentral:rRNA from 1 species